AGUGAACGCUGGCGGUAGGCCUAACACAUGCAAGUCGAACGGCAGCACAGGAGAGCUUGCUCUCUGGGUGGCGAGUGGCGGACGGGUGAGGAAUACAUCGGAAUCUACUCUGUCGUGGGGGAUAACGUAGGGAAACUUACGCUAAUACCGCAUACGACCUACGGGUGAACUCAGGGGACCUUCGGGCCUUGCGCGAUUGAAUGAGCCGAUGUCGGAUUAGCUAGUUGGCGGGGUAAAGGCGCACCAAGGCGACGAUCCGUAGCUGGUCUGAGAGGAUGAUCAGCCACACUGGAACUGAGACACGGUACAGACUCCUACGGGAGGCAGCAGUGGGGAAUAUUGGACAAUGGGCGCAAGCCUGAUCCAGCCAUACCGCGUGGGUGAAGAAGGCCUUCGGGUUGUAAAGCCCUUUUGUUGGGAAAGAAAUCCAGCUGGCUAAUACCCGGUUGGGAUGACGGUACCCAAAGAAUAAGCACCGGCUAACUUCGUGCCAGCCGCCGCCGUAA
rnacentral:rRNA from 1 species